GCGGCAGCGGCAGCACUCUCAGCGUUUGUGGCUGCGGCGAGAGCGCUUGCAGCAGCGGUGCGAGCCGUUGCAGCAGUGCUAUCUGCUGCAAC
rnacentral:pre_miRNA from 1 species